AUACGGAGGAUACGAGCGUUAUCCGGAUUUAUUGGGUUUAAAGGGUGCGCAGGCGGCCAUUUAAGUCAGCGGUUAAAUCGUGGGGCUCAACCCCAUUCUGCCAUUGAUACUGGGUGGCUUGAUUGCGGUCGAGGUUGGCGGAAUUCGUUGUGGAGCGGUGAAAUGCAUAGAUAUGACGAAGAAAACCGAUUGCGUAGGCAGCUGACCAGACCGCAAAUGACGCUCAUGCACGAAAGUGCGGGGAUCGAACAGGAUUAGAUACCCUGGUAGUCCGCACAGUAAACGAUGAAUACUUGUUUUCGGCGAUAUAAUGUCGGAGGCAAAGCGAAAGCGAUAAGUAUUCCACCUGGGGAGUACGCCGGCAACGGUGAAACUCAAAUGAAUUGGCGGG
rnacentral:rRNA from 1 species